UUCUAUUGUAUUAAAUAAUAGUAAAAUCUGCUCAAUGAUUUUAAAUAGCUGCAAUAUGUACUAAGGUAGCAUAAUCACUCGUUUUUUAAUUUAAAACUAGAACAAAGGAUUCAACAAUUUUUAAAAUUUCAUAUAAUAUAUAUAUAUUAAAUUUAUCUAAAAUGUAAAAAGACAUUUAUUCAAAAGAAAGACGACAAGACCCUAUCGAACUUAACUAAUGUUAAACUGGGGUAGUUAAUUAAUUAUAAUUUUAAUUUAAAUUUUUCAUAAAAAACCUACUAUUAAUAAAAUAAUAAGUUACCGUAGGGAUAACAGCGCAAUUUUUAUUUUAAGCUCUUAUUUAAAUAAAAGAUUACGACCUCGAUGUUGAAUAAUCACCUAUUUAUAUGUAACAAUAUUAUAAGGUAGUCUGUUCGACUAUUAAAAAAUUACA
rnacentral:rRNA from 1 species